UGGGGAAUUUUGGACAAUGGGCGCAAGCCUGAUCCAGCAAUGCCGCGUGUGUGAAGAAGGCCUUCGGGUUGUAAAGCACUUUUGUCCGGAAAGAAAACCUCGUGGUUAAUACCCGUGGGGGAUGACGGUACCGGAAGAAUAAGCACCGGCUAACUACGUGCCAGCAGCCGCGGUAAUACGUAGGGUGCAAGCGUUAAUCGGAAUUACUGGGCGUAAAGCGUGCGCAGGCGGUUCGCUAAGACAGAUGUGAAAUCCCCGGGCUUAACCUGGGAACUGCAUUUGUGACUGGCGGGCUAGAGUAUGGCAGAGGGGGGUAGAAUUCCACGUGUAGCAGUGAAAUGCGUAGAGAUGUGGAGGAACACCGAUGGCGAAGGCAAUCCCCUGGACCUGUACUGACGCUCAUGCACGAAAGCGUGGGGAGCAAAC
rnacentral:rRNA from 1 species